rnacentral:lncRNA from 1 species
AUGUUUCCAAGUCACAUAACCAUUGUCCAAAAAUACUAACAGAAAAUAGAGAAUAUAUAUAAAAGUAGAAAAUAAGAGAAUCAAAUUGUGGCAUGUGAUAUGUUGAUGGAGUAUCAAAUUAAAAACAACAUCUAACUACUAAAAUGCAAUUUAAAAAAAAUUAUAUUUACGGUUUGCCGUAACCGCGAGUUGCCAAAAUCACAUACGGCAACCGCAACUGCAAUUGCCGCUCGAUUUCUAAAACCGCAAUUUUUGGUCAGUUUUUAGCUAUUGCGGUUCCAAUGCGGUAUAAUGUCGGUUGGUUUUUGCGGUUUUUCAGUUUUUCGGUCUAAAAUGCCACCCCUAGUUAUGAGGAUGUUUACAGAUAGAUAUGUUUCCAAGUCACAUAACCAUUGCCCAAAAAUACUAACAGAAAAUAGAGAAUAUAUAUAAAAGUAGAAAAUAAGAUAAUCAAAUUGUGGUAUGUGAUAUGUUGAUGGUGUAUCAAAUGUAAAGGAGGAG